GACGAACGCUGGCGGCGUGCUUAACACAUGCCAGUCGAACGGAAAGGCCCUGCUUUUGUGGGGUGCUCGAUUGGCGAACGGGUGAGUAACACGUGAGUAACCUGCCCUUGACUUUGUGAUAACUUCAGGAAACUGGGGCUAAUACCGGAUAUGAGCUCCUGCUGCAUGGUGGGGGUUGGAAAGUGUCGGCGGUUGGGGAUGGACUCGCGGCUUAUCAGCUUGUUGGUGGGGUAGUGGCUUACCAAGGCUUUGACGGGUAGCCGGCCUGAGAGGGUGACCGGCCACCUUGGGACUGAGAUACGGCCCAGACUCCUACGGGAGGCAGCAGUGGGGAAUAUUGCACAAUGGGCGGAAGCCUGAUGCAGCAACGCCGCGUGCGGGAUGACGGCCUUCGGGUUGUAAACCGCUUUCGCCUGUGACGAAGCGUGAGUGACGGUAAUGGGUAAAGAAGCACCGGCUAACUACGUG
rnacentral:rRNA from 1 species